rnacentral:rRNA from 1 species
GACGAACGCUGGCGGCGCGCCUAACACAUGCAAGUCGAACGAGCGAGAGAGAGCUUGCUUUCUCGAGCGAGUGGCGAACGGGUGAGUAACGCGUGAGGAACCUGCCUCAAAGAGGGGGACAACAGUUGGAAACGACUGCUAAUACCGCAUAAGCCCACGGCUCGGCAUCGAGCAGAGGGAAAAGGAGCAAUCCGCUUUGAGAUGGCCUCGCGUCCGAUUAGCUAGUUGGUGAGGUAAUGGCCCACCAAGGCAACGAUCGGUAGCCGGACUGAGAGGUUGAACGGCCACAUUGGGACUGAGACACGGCCCAGACUCCUACGGGAGGCAGCAGUGGGGAAUAUUGCACAAUGGGGGAAACCCUGAUGCAGCGACGCCGCGUGGAGGAAGAAGGUCUUCGGAUUGUAAACUCCUGUUGUUGGGGAAGAUAAUGACGGUACCCAACAAGGAAGUGACGGCUAACUACGUGCCAGCAGCCGCGGUAAAACGUAGGUCACAAGCGUUGUCCGGAAUUACUGGGUGUAAAGGGAGCGCAGGCGGGAAGACAAGUUGGAAGUGAAAUCUAUGGGCUCAACCCAUAAACUGCUUUCAAAACUGUUUUUCUUGAGUAGUGCAGAGGUAGGCGGAAUUCCCGGUGUAGCGGUGGAAUGCGUAGAUAUCGGGAGGAACACCAGUGGCGAAGGCGGCCUACUGGGCACCAACUGACGCUGAGGCUCGAAAGUGUGGGUAGCAAACAGGAUUAGAUACCCCGGUAGUCCACACCGUAAACGAUGAUUACUAGGUGUUGGAGGAUUGACCCCUUCAGUGCCGCAGUUAACACAAUAAGUAAUCCACCUGGGGAGUACGACCGCAAGGUUGAAACUCAAAGGAAUUGACGGGGGCCCGCACAAGCAGUGGAGUAUGUGGUUUAAUUCGACGCAACGCGAAGAACCUUACCAAGUCUUGACAUCCCUUGACAGACAUAGAAAUAUGUAUUCUCUUCGGAGCAAGGAGACAGGUGGUGCAUGGUUGUCGUCAGCUCGUGUCGUGAGAUGUUGGGUUAAGUCCCGCAACGAGCGCAACCCUUAUGGUCAGUUACUACGCAAGAGGACUCUGGCCAGACUGCCGUUGACAAAACGGAGGAAGGUGGGGAUGACGUCAAAUCAUCAUGCCCUUUAUGACUUGGGCUACACACGUACUACAAUGGCGUUAAACAAAGAGAAGCAAGACCGCGAGGUGGAGCAAAACUCGGAAACAACGUCCCAGUUCGGACUGCAGGCUGCAACUCGCCUGCACGAAGUCGGAAUUGCUAGUAAUCGUGGAUCAGCAUGCCACGGUGAAUACGUUCCCGGGCCU